rnacentral:lncRNA from 1 species
CGAUCACGAUCAGAUACGACUUCAAUUCCAUCAUCGUCCACUGCUUGCUUCAUUCCGUCGCCGCCUCCGCCUUGCUUCACCGUCUCUGCAGCCUCCGGUUUACUCCACUGUCGUCGUUCAUCAACUGCUUCAAGCUUGCUUCAUAGGUAUGCGCUAAUUUUUGUUACAAUUGCGAUUUUGUUUCUAAUUUUGAUUGUUUCCCUGUAUCAGUGUGUCUCUUAUCUUAUUUGCAAAAGCACUAAGAUGGAAUUGUGAACUUUACAAUCGUUUCUUCUAAAAUCAUGAACUGAUUUUGAUUGGUUAAUCAUGGAUUCAAUUUUCUGAUCGUUCCCAGUACAAUUGCUACCUCUAUCAACGCGUCUCUUAUCUAGUUUGUAAAAGCACGAAUUUGGAACUGUGAACUAAUUUGGAAUCGUUUCCUAUAUAAUCAUAAAUUGAUUUAUAAUUGCUUGAUCAUGAUUCUAUUUUGUGAUCGUCCCUGUACAAUAUCAAUGUUCUCGAGUUUUUUUUAGCUUCUUGCACAAUAUUGUAUCAACCUUUUGUUAUCAGAUUGUUUACUAUAUAUCCAAUCUUCAAAUCCAAACAUCAAUGUGAAUUUAUUUGGAAUGGAGUUCUAGUUUUCUGAUCGUUUACUGUACAUCUUUGUGGCUUCACAGCAAGAUAACUUUUGGUUACAUUUGAGUUCCAUUUGAUACCUUUUUGGUUUCAUUUGAGUUGAAUGUUAUUUAAUUUUAGUGUAUGUGUGAUUAUCUAGCAGAUGGGUUCAAUAGAGUAAAAAAAGAAAGAGAAAGAAAGAGAAAGAAAGAGAAAAGAAACAUACAUGGAAAUGAUUUGACUCAGUCCAAUGCUAGUUCUCAAGGCACAUUGCAAGAUUAUGUCACCGAUUAAUAUAUUUGAGUUGAAUGUUAUUAAAUUUCCUAGUUUUUUUAAUAGUUAGUUCUAUAUUUUUUGAUUCGGAUUAUUGUUUGGUUGUCUAUUUAGACGGCUGUUUGAUCACAUUUUUUGGUAAAAGCUUUGUGAAAUAUAUAGUGUUGUUUUGAAUGGC